AGAUUGAACGCUAGCGGGAUGCUUUACACACGCAAGUCGAACGGCAGCGCGGACUUCGGUCUGGCGGCGAGUGGCGAACGGGUGAGUAAUAUAUCGGAACGUGCCCAGUAGCGGGGGAUAACUACGCGAAAGCGUGGCUAAUACCGCAUACGCCCUACGGGGGAAGGGGGGAUUCUUCGGAACCUCUCACUAUUGGAGCGGCCGAUAUCAGAUUAGCUAGUUGGUGAGGUAAAGGCUCACCAAGGCGACGAUCUGUAGCUGGUUUGAGAGGACGACCAGCCACACUGGGACUGAGACACGGCCCAGACUCCUACGGGAGGCAGCAGGUGGGAAUUUGGACAAGUGGGGAAACCCUGAUCCGAGCCAGUCCCGCGUGUGCGAUGGAAGGUCCGUUGGUUAGUAAG
rnacentral:rRNA from 1 species